CGGAGUCCGAUUUAGCCAUGCUAGUCGCACGGGCUCAGACCCGUGGCAGAUAGCUCAGUAACACGUGGCCAAACUACCCUACAGAUCGUGAUAACCUCGGGAAACUGAGGCUAAUAACGAAUACAGCUCCCAGAUUUGAACAUCGGGAGCUGGAAACGUUCCGGCGCUGUAGGAUGUGGCUGCGGCCGAUUAGGUAGACGGUGGGGUAACGGCCCACCGUGCCGAUAAUCGGUACGGGUUGUGAGAGCAAGAACCCGGAGACGGAAUCUGAGACAAGAUUCCGGGCCCUACGGGGCGCAGCAGGCGCGAAACCUUUACACUGCACGACAGUGCGAUAAGGGGACUCCGAGUGCGAGGGCAUAUAGUCCUCGCUUUUCUGUACCGUAAGGUGGUACAGGAACAAGUGCUGGGCAAGACCGGUGCCAGCCGCCGCGGUAAUACCGGCAGCACGAGUGAUGGCCGCUCUUAUUGGGCCUAAAGCGUCCGUAGCCGGCCAGACAAGUCCGUUGGGAAAUCGACGCGCUCAACGCGUCGGCGUCCAGCGGAAACUGUCUGGCUUGGGGCCGGAAGACCUGAGGGGUACGUCCGGGGUAGGAGUGAAAUCCUGUAAUCCUGGACGGACCACCGGUGGCGAAAGCGCCUCAGGAAGACGGACCCGACGGUGAGGGACGAAAGCUAGGGUCUCGAACCGGAUUAGAUACCCGGGUAGUCCUAGCUGUAAACGAUGCUCGCUAGGUGUGGCGCAGGCUACGAGCCUGCGCUGUGCCGUAGGGAAGCCGUGAAGCGAGCCGCCUGGGAAGUACGUCUGCAAGGAUGAAACUUAAAGGAAUUGGCGGGGGAGCACUAC
rnacentral:rRNA from 1 species